UGGGGAAUAUUGCACAAUGGGGGAAACCCUGAUGCAGCGACGCCGCGUGGAGGAAGAAGGUCUUCGGAUUGUAAACUCCUGUUGUUGAGGAAGAUAAUGACGGUACUCAACAAGGAAGUGACGGCUAACUACGUGCCAGCAGCCGCGGUAAAACGUAGGUCACAAGCGUUGUCCGGAAUUACUGGGUGUAAAGGGAGCGCAGGCGGGGAGACAAGUUGGAAGUGAAAUCCAUGGGCUCAACCCAUGAACUGCUUUCAAAACUGUUUUUCUUGAGUAGUGCAGAGGUAGGCGGAAUUCCCGGUGUAGCGGUGGAAUGCGUAGAUAUCGGGAGGAACACCAGUGGCGAAGGCGGCCUACUGGGCACCAACUGACGCUGAGGCUCGAAAGUGUGGGUAGCAAACAGGAUUAGAUACCCUGGUAGUCCACACCGUAAACGAUGAUUACUAGGUGUUGGAGGAUUGACCCCUUCAGUGCCGCAGUUAACACAAUAAGUAAUCCACCUGGGGAGUACGACCGCAAGGUUGAAACUCAAAGGAAUUGACGGGGGCCCGCACAAGCAGCGGAGCAUGUGGUUUAAUUCGACGCAACGCGAAGAACCUUACCAGGUCUUGACAUCCAGUUAAAGCUAUUGAAAGGUAGUGUCUCUUCGGAGGAACUGAGACAGGUGGUGCAUGGUUGUCGUCAGCUCGUGUCGUGAGAUGUUGGGUUAAGUCCCGCAACGAGCGCAACCCUUAUGGUCAGUUACUACGCAAGAGGACUCUGGCCAGACUGCCGUUGACAAAACGGAGGAAGGUGGGGAUGACGUCAAAUCAUCAUGCCCUUUAUGACUUGGGCUACACACGUACUACAAUGGCGUUAAACAAAGGGAGGCAAAGCCGCGAGGUGGAGCAAAUCCCAAAAAUAACGUCUCAGUUCGGACUGCAGUCUGCAACUCGACUGCACGAAGCUGGAAUCGCUAGUAAUCGCGAAUCAGAAUGUCGCGGUGAAUACGUUCCC
rnacentral:rRNA from 1 species